AUGCAUCUCUCUCGAUUAAUGAUUCUUCUCCAUCAAAGCCUUACCAUCAAUUUCUUUGAUUCUUUCAACUUAUUGAUUUAAUUCUAUUGUUCAUUCAAUUCAAUCAUUCCAUUAACAAAGAUAAAAAUUGUACGUAUACUUCUUCGAAACAUUUCUCUUCAAUAUUCUAUCAAGACUUAAAGAUGGAAGGUAGAGAAUAUUGGAUGUACAAUAGUAGCGUCGUGCGUACUUCCGAAAUAUAUAUGAAAGGCGUUUCUACUUUUCUUAAGGUUGCUGAAGCUAAUCGGAGGAAUGUUGGCUCCAAAGAGAUUUGGUGUCCUUGUCGUUAGGUACUAGUUGGAGCUUGCAUGGAGGAAUGGUCGUUGUGGAGAUGAACCGUUGUGGGGUUCAUGAUAAACAUUAUGAAACUUUAAGCCUUUACUUUGGUUUUGAAUUAAAUGCUUCCGCUGUUAACUUAUACUUUGUUUUUA
rnacentral:lncRNA from 1 species